UACGGGGGGGGCAAGCGUUGUUCGGAAUUACUGGGCGUAAAGCGCACGUAGGCGGCUUUUUAAGUCAGGGGUGAAAUCCUGGAGCUCAACUCCAGAACUGCCUUUGAUACUGAGAAGCUUGAGUAUGGGAGAGGUGAGUGGAACUGCGAGUGUAGAGGUGAAAUUCGUAGAUAUUCGCAAGAACACCAGUGGCGAAGGCGGCUCACUGGCCCAUAACUGACGCUGAGGCACGAAAGCGUGGGGAGCAAACAGG
rnacentral:rRNA from 1 species